rnacentral:rRNA from 1 species
UACGUAGGGAGCAAGCGUUACUCGGAAUUAUUGGGCGUAAAGGGCGCGUAGGCGAUCUGAAAAGUUCUGUGUGAAAGCCCACAUGUUAACUGUGGAAGUGCACAGAAAACUGUUGGAUUUGAGUUCAGGAGAGGAAGGCAGAAUUCCCGGUGUAGCGGUGAAAUGCGUAGAGAUCGGGAGGAAUACCAGUGGCGAAGGCGGCCUUCUGGACUGACACUGACGCUGAGGCGCGAAAGCCAGGGGAGCAAACGGG